GGGUAAGGGAUCACCAGUAUGAGAACUGCGGAGGUCAUUA
rnacentral:rRNA from 1 species